GGACCCGCACAAGCAGCGGAGCAUGUGGUUUAAUUCGAAGCAACGCGAAGAACCUUACCUGGGCUUGACAUCCCCCUGACAGACGGGUAACGCCGUUUUUCUUCGGACAGGGGAGACAGGUGGUGCAUGGUUGUCGUCAGCUCGUGUCGUGAGAUGUUGGGUUAAGUCCCGCAACGAGCGCAACCCUUGCCGUCAGUUGCCAUCAUUAAGUUGGGAAUUCUGGCGGGACUGCCGGGGACGACCCGGAGGAAGGCGGGGAUGACGUCAAAUCAUCAUGCCCCUUAUGUUCAGGGCUACACACGUGCUACAAUGGCCGGCACAAAGAGAAGCGAAGCGGCGACGCGGAGCAAAUCAAGAAAACCGGUCCCAGUUCGGAUUGCAGGCUGAAACCCGCCUGCAUGAAGUCGGAGUUGCUAGUAAUCGCGGAUCAGAACGCCGCGGUGAAUACG
rnacentral:rRNA from 2 species